CUUUGCUCGACUGAGCCUCACGGGAAGUUGGCGAAAGAGAAGUGCGCCGCCCUCCCGGCGUGGAGGACAUAUCGCAUGCAUUAUCCCUCCAAACUUGUGUCCUGUGCCAUCAAGUUGCAACCGACUUAUAACAAUCCUAAGACUUUCAAGACCAUGAACAUUCUGGAGCUGAUGAAAUAGUUCAGUACAGCAAAUUACAGUUCUCCUUCCACCGUGUCUUA